rnacentral:lncRNA from 1 species
UUUUUUUUUAUCAUUUUCUUGAUUUAGUUUUUUUUUUCAAUUCCUCCCGUAACAUUUUAUUUUAUUUUAUUUUUAUCCAACUUUGUCAUUAUUCUUUUAAUUUCUAUUUAUUUUAUUUUUAAUUUUUUAUGAUUAGAAAUCUUGCAUUAUGAUUUUUUCUUGUUUUUCUUCUAUGAGAUAAUCUCAGUUUCAUCAUUUAGGUUAGCAUGAUUUAACUUUGAUCUUUUUUUAGGUCUCUUUUUAAAUUGAUUUUCUUUUUUAAUUUCAUCAUUCGACAUAAGGUUAUU